AUAUCAGAUCACAUCGCAUGUUGUGGCUUUUACAUUGAACCACUAGCACUCGAGCAAAAAGACUAAAGUCAGAACACGACUCGAAGGCAAAGCAAGAACUUGUCUCAACACGCGGUUUAGUUGUACUGGUUUUUUAUUGCAUGAAUUGUAAUAGCUGCAGAGAGAAACAACGUUUCAGAGGAGUACAGUUGGGUUUGAAGCCUUCCCGCAGUGAAGACAGAUGGGUCAGUGGACAUUCAGAUGGCACGGCUAACUUCAUUCACCUUCCUCCUUGUCCGUCUACCACAUAACCAGCGCUUAGGCUAAAUACUGCAUUUAAACCGCGACUGUAGCACGGAGGGAUUGGGGGGAGGGGGGGCGGCAAGUAACCGUACUUUAACGUUUCAACACCUAAUAUAAUUGGCUGUAAGUUAGUGCAUGUACUUAUCAAAUGUGCUUCACUGUUCUCAGCGGUGAGCAUGCCAUUCUGUGGCUGCAGCUGCCACUGUGGAGUAAUAAUAUAUCAUGAAAGGUGGUUGUUAUUGCUGGCUGCUUGUUUCGUUUUAAUGUGGGUGAUUGUUGUCACAUUUUGGGAGAGCGACGAUAAGAGGAUUGUGGUGUGUGCUUUGGUUUGUUACCCCCUCUAGCAAGCACUCAGCUCAACAGGUUUUCUAUUUGCAGCUGCUCAUUCAGUUGAAAUAUCAGAAUAUUGGUCAGCCAGUCGCAAAAAUAACGCAGAGAUGAACCAUCCAAAUGCAGUAUACAAGCCCCACACUGUGGAUUCAGACUAAGAGCAACGCCUCCAUCUACAGAUGGAGUGCUGUUAGCGUGGCUCUGUGUUCGGUUAUUAUUGACGACGGCGGACUUUUCUCUGUGGGCGCUGGAGCCCCGGCCAGACUGCUGCUUGGCUGUCUUACAUGGCAUGCCAUCAGAGUCCUGGCGAAAACCAACAAAAAGAGUAAAUAAAGACUGACCGCAUCGCUGGAGCUGGAGGUUGAGGACGUGGAAGAAGGCGAAAGUGGAGAAGAGGAAGGAGAGGAGCGCAGUGAAGGGGACGGAGAGGAGGAAUUGGAGGAGGUUUUGCUGCGGGGAGCCGACGGUAGAGCUACAACAUCAUCAUCAUCGUCGUCGUCUGGAACGUUGUUGUUGCACUCAUCAAGCUGCUGGGACUCAAACAGUGUGACGUCAUUUCCUAUGGAAACGGAGAAGGCGAAAAUGUAGACCCAAAAGUCAACUCAGUCCAAAGUUAAGCUUAUAGAGCCCUGUAGGUACAGUCUUAUCUCCACACUUCACUUAAACCUCUUCUACAUUUAGGUCAAAUGGGACUGCAAGAAAUAUUUUAUGAAUUACAACAACAACAAAAUGUCAAAGACUUUGAGCGUACUGUUGAGUGGCGGAUCAUUCUGAGACGGGCUCCCCCAGUUCUUUCGGAUCCAUUCCCUGUACUCAUCCACUUCCUGUGUUACCCGGAUUAUUCGGCCAAGAAUGCUGUGAUGGGAUACAGAAGGAGGUAGUCCUGUUAUACCACUCUUAAUACAGCAGUCUGAAAGCAAAUGUAACUGGUAAUGACCCGAAAAUUUUCUGUAUGACCAAAUAAUGCCAACCAUGAGAAACAACAGUUGAAAUACCCUCAUCUUAUGAUUGACAACAUAAACACCAGUGUAGGGCUGUGCUCGAUUGAAGAAAUUCUUAGUCGACUAACACUCAUUUAAUUGUAUCGACU